AUGGUGACUUUGCUGGUGUAUUUUGUCUUGAAGAAUAAAAGAGUGCUAUUGUCCCAGCAGCAACCUGGGCGACGAGGCAGGCUGCCCCCGGGGCCUGCCACGCUGCCCAUCAUCGGUAACAUGCACCAGCUGAUUCUUAACAAGCCAGCGGUAUUCCGGUGGAUCCAUGGCCUGCUGAAGGAGAUGAACACAGACAUCAUGUGCCUCCGUCUUGGGGCUACUCAUGUCAUUGUUGUGGCAUGCCCACAAAUAGCCUGUGAGGUACUGCGAAAAAAAGACGAUGUUUUCGCCUCCCGUCCCACCACCUUCGCCUCAGGCUUGUUCAGCUUCGGGUACAUGGGCUCCAUCUUCUCACCACACGGAGAGCAGUGGAAGAAGAUGAGGCGCGUCCUCACCGUUGAGAUCCUUGCCUCGUCCAUGGAGCUAAAGCUCCACCACCUCCGGGAAGAGGAGUACAGCCACCUUAAUAAAACUCUUUGCAGCGACAUGGCAUGUCCAAGCAACAUUGUCAACAUCCGUCAUGUAACACAACACUUCGUUGGUAACAUGAUAAGAAGGCUUGUGUUCGGUAAGAGAUACUUCAGUGACCUACCAGCUUCAUCCACUAGUGGGCCUGGACAUGAUGAGGUGGCACAUGUUGCCGCUCUCUUCACGGCCCUCAACCAUCUCUAUAGCUUCUGUGUGUCCGACUACUUCCCGGCCCUCGUAGGCCUCGACCUGGAUGGCCAGGAAAAGGUUUCCAAGGAUGCCAUGCAAACAAUCAACCGGUUGCAUGAUCCCAUUAUAGAAGAGCGGAUCCUCGAAAGGUCAUCAAGUCUUGACAAAGGUGGUGAAAAGAAACAGGCGAGAGACAUUUUGGACGUCCUGGUUCAUCUUAAAGAUGUAGAGGGACAACCAUUGCUGUCCCUACAAGAAAUUAGAGCACAAACAGCGGAAAUGAUGUUUGCAGCAGUCGAUAACCCAUCUAAUGCGGUUGAGUGGGCACUUGCUGAGAUGAUGAACAAACCAGAGAUCAUGCAAAAAGCAACUGAGGAACUCGAUACUGUUGUCGGUAAAGAUAGACUAGUCCAAGAGUCUGACAUUCCACGGCUAAACUAUCUCAAAUCAUGCAUCCGGGAGGCCUUCCGCAUGCAUCCAUACCAUGCUCUUAACGUACCCCAUGUCGCCAUGGCGGACACAACUAUUGCUGGCUACACCAUACCCAAGGAUAGUCACAUACUUCUAAGCCGGCUUGGACUUGGCCACAAUCCCAAGAUCUGGACUGAACCACUAGAGUUUAGGCCCGAGAGGCAUUUGAACACCGCGAAUGUACUUCUCACCGAUCCAGGCCUACGUUUCAUUUCAUUUAGUAGUGGGAGGAGGGGUUGCCCUGGGAUUUCACUUGGUACCUCUAUGACAAUGAUGUUGUUCGCAAGGAUGCUGCAGGGAUUCACUUGGACAAAGCUUUCCGGCGUUAAGAGUAUCAGUCUCCGAGAAGGCAAUGUGGGCCUUGCACUAGCUGAACCCCUUGUUCUGCAAGCUAAACCACGGUUGGCCGCACAUCUCUAUAUAUGA
rnacentral:rRNA from 1 species